rnacentral:rRNA from 1 species
AACGACUCUCGACAACGGAUAUCUCGGCUCUCGCAUCGAUGAAGAACGUAGCGAAAUGCGAUACUUGGUGUGAAUUGCAGAAUCCCGUGAACCAUCGAGUCUUUGAACGCAAGUUGCGCCCGAAGCCUUCCGGCCGAGGGCACGUCUGCCUGGGCGUCACGC